CACGUAGGGCGCAAGCGUUGUCCGGAAUUAUUGGGCGUAAAGAGCUCGUAGGCGGUCUGUUGCGUCCGCUGUGAAAACUCGGGGCUUAACCCCGAGCCUGCAGUGGAUACGGGCAGACUAGAGGUAGGUAGGGGAGAAUGGAAUUCCCGGUGUAGCGGUGAAAUGCGCAGAUAUCGGGAAGGAACACCGGUGGCGAAGGCGGUUCUCUGGGCCUUACCUGACGCUGAGGAGCGAAAGCGUGGGGAGCGAACAGGAUUAGAAACCCU
rnacentral:rRNA from 1 species